rnacentral:rRNA from 1 species
ACGAAGGUGGCAAGCGUUAUUCGGAUUUACUGGGCGUACAGGGAGCGUAGGCGGUUCGGUAAGCCCUUUGUGAAAUCUCCAGGCUUAACCUGGAAAAGUCGGAGGGGACUGCCGGGCUAGAGGACGGGAGAGGAGCGCGGAAUUCCCGGUGUAGCGGUGAAAUGCGUAGAGAUCGGGAGGAAGGCCGGUGGCGAAGGCGGCGCUCUGGAACGUUUCUGACGCUGAGGCUCGAAAGCGUGGGGAGCAAACAGGAUUAGAUACCCUGGUAGUCCACGCCUUAAACUAUGAAUACUAAGUGUCGGCGGGUUACCGCCGGUGCCGCAGCUAACGCAUUAAGUAUUCCGCCUGGGAAGUACGGCCGCAAGGUUG